UACAUUGAUCCACUCAAGAACGAUCAAACUUAGAAAAUCUAGAGGAUUACCUUUUCUCCUUAUCACUGUUGGAUGAGGCCGACACUUUCCAGAAAUGAUUGAAACAUCGUCAGAUGAUGAACAAAACACGCAGUCCCCGCUUAUUUUUUGCACAAGAGAGUAUUAAUUAUUUCAGCUUAUUGACGGUUUUGUUUAACAAAACAAUAAAGGAUCCAAUCGAGAGGGUCGACUUGGGCACUGAGGUACUACAUCAGGACGCUCCCUUUAAUUUCCCGCUCCCUGAGACCCUAAUUUGUGAUUUCUGUUCAUGUAGCUCACAGAUUAGGCAUCUCAGGUACGGGCGAUCUAAGUGUCACUCAUCGUUGGACCAUCCCUAAAAAUCUUUCAAUGGCGUUCUCACUCACAGCUAUGCGGCAUUCAUCAUUGGUUCCAAAAUGCGGACCAGGUAACGAGAGCACCAUUGAAGCAAGGCCAUGUCCAAGAUAGUCUUUAUUUUAUUUGAUACAUAAUAAACUGUCAGGAAUCUUUAUUUUAUACACAAAUGUAAUAGUAAAGGGUGCCAAAGUAAAUUGACUGAUUGUAAUGGGUAGUAAUUUGCGUACGAAUAGUUGUUACUAUUAUCUCAUAAUAUGUGCUGAUAUCAUCCGUAAAGGAAAAAUUGUAGAAUGUUUAGAGGGAUUCAGUGUUCUGUAAGCCGCGGAACUAUGUAUUGAUGGUCGCAUAUACCAACAAGAAAUAAAAUAAUUAUUCCAAACGCCGACGUUUUCAUAAUCACGUUCAGUAUUGACGACCGUAGGAUUUUUGUUUGUUUUAAAAAUCUCUAAUUGUAAGAGUGGUGGCACCUUGUACGUUAUUGAACACAAUAGUUUAUUUCAAAUUGGUCUAAUUGCAUGGUGGCUUUUUGGGCACAGGAUGAAACUUGAAUGGAAACAGGGAGUUUCAUCUUGUGCCCAAAAAACCACCUGCAAUUAGACCAAUUUAAAAGAAACUAUAGUGCUCAAUAACGCACAAGGUGACGCCAUUCUCAAGGUUUUUUAAAACAAAACAAAAAACCGACGACCAUCAAUGACAAACGCGAAUAUGAAUACUUCGGCAUUUGGAAGUCUAUUAUUUCUUGCUGGUAUACCCGAUCAUCAUACAUGGGUCCGUGGCUCACAGAAUACUGGUAAAACAUUUCUCCAUACGAGAUCAACCUUCUAGAAAAAGAUUCCGACCUCAGGCGCCUUCAGUAUCAGGCAAUACUUCAAGCCUCGCUUCAGAGUUAGUUUAGUUGCCUAUUUUAGCCGUGACUGAAGACACCAAAAAUUAAAUUUCAUUCCGAGGGAUCCGAAGAGUGGCAGGUGGCAGGAUUUUGGAGUCGACAGCUCCUGUCCAACUUCUACCUACUCAAACUUAGUCAAGUAAAAAGAGAAAUGAGGGAAGAAGAAAAAUCAAUUAGAAAGUAUAAAAUAGUCAAUACAUUAAAUACCGGAAAAACAUUCAAAAUGUUUUAAUACUUUUCUGUCAGUGCCAGACUUACCUUUUCUGAAGUGCCUUUUUUUAAAAUUGUCCCUUAAAAGGAAGCAAUUAUAAUUUGAAGAAGUUUGAAAUUGAAUUUUUGCAACAUGCAUCUUAUGAUUUGUAUUUUAUAAUUUGAAUUCUUUAACUGCAUUAUCCGAUAGUAUCGAGUUGGUUGCCUUUUGGCUACUUUUUAAUGACUUAUUUCUCAUAGUAUGUAUUAUGUAUUAGUAAUUUGAAAGUACACUGUAGUUUUCAUAUAUCGCGCAUAAGUAGUCCUACUUUAAAUUGCUUCAUAGUAAAGCAUUUUAUUUCAGCUGUCAAUUUGUAAUUUAAUUUUAUGGACCAUUUUUACAAAAUUCCUAGACUCAGCAAAAGUUCAUCGUCAUUUUUGUAUUAUAUUAUCACUCAUUCCGUAGAAAGAAUCUAUUUUUUUCUUUUUCUCUUGUGCUAAUAUUUUAUAAAAUAUAUAUUAUAAUAAGUACUGUCUCAAAUCAUUCCGAGGAUUUUUAUUGUUUUGAUUGAUUACAUAGUUCUAAGUUAGGAGUCAGGCUUUCCUGAUGUGCUCAUCUUGAUAUUAGAGUCAUUUUCUAGAAAAAGCCGUUCUUCUUUGUCCACCAAAAGUUUGCGACGCACCAAUUGUACCGAGGAAUUUACUCCUCCGUCGGUACAGUCGGCACACCCCCUCACUAGAAACUACAAAAUUUCUAAAACUUCAAUGUUUGUUGAAAAGCCGUAAUUUUUGAGAUUAGUAUUGCCACUGACUGUAUGUGAAACGAACCGAGUUGAAUAGAAAUAUACCAAUAAAGUUGCCUAAAGUUAGAACUGAAAAACGAAUGUUUGAAGUUUUAUUCCUCCAGAAGACUAAAUGCUCAUCAGGACAAAGAGGGUUAUACAAAAUCGGCGAUUUUACCCCCCUCUUGGAUUUUGCCCGGAGUUGGAUAUGUUGUUCCCUAUCACAAGACACGCCUUUUUCCGGCGUUGGCAAGUUCACCCGAAAUUUUUCCCGCGCGCUACAGCGUUGCCAAGUUGAAAACAGGCAAAUUCCGUAAGUGGCGUUAAAAUUGAGCUAUGAAGUUGCGGUUUUAACGAAAAUUCUCUAAUAAUUGCGCA
rnacentral:lncRNA from 1 species